rnacentral:rRNA from 1 species
AAAAGAAGAAAGAAAAUGAUAGUUCUUUAUAACGGUAAAAAAAAAGUCGGCAAUAUAGCCCGUGGCAACGCACGGGCGUUCUAUUUGUACGAGUAGAGCUUAUAUCAGCCUGCGGCUGACACCGGCAACGAGCCAGGCGCGGGCGGAUCGCCACGCCCGCGUGCAUUAUCCCGGCUCCGCCGCCCAUCAAUCAUUGCACGUCCGCGAAGCUGCUGCACCCGCACUCCUCUCCGUCGUACCCGCUCCCCGCACAAACCUCCCGCAUCGCUAUCGCAUCACAGUCAGCGCGCCCAGCCUCACACGCCCGUGGCAUUCGCGACCGGCCGACGAGACGGAGCUCCAGCCUCCAGCUUCCGCCCCGCCCCGAGCAGAGCCGAAACAGCCAAACAGAGCACGCGAUUUUACAACCCUGCCCCGCGCGGCCCCCCUCCAUCCGCGCAGAUCUUUUCUCUUCCUCCCCCGCGCCCCGCGCCGAUCACGCCACCGAUCCGGCGGGCGCACCCAUCCCUUCCCAGCGGGGGCGAUGGAGGGGGAGGAGCGGCGGCUGGCGGCGUCGCUGACGGCGCGGUACUCGGAGUGGGUGCUGGAGGAGCUGGACGAGCUGCGGGGGAGCUUCCUGCUCACGGACCCGGCCAUGCCGGGCCACCCCAUCGUCUACGCCUCCCGGGGCCUGGCCGCGCUCACGGGCUACCCGCGCCGCGAGCUGCUCGGCCGCAACGCGCGCCUCUUCCAGGGCGCCGCCACCGACCGCGCCGCCGUCUCGGGCGUCCGCGAGGCCGUGCGCGCCCAGCGCGCCCACCAGGUCGCCAUCCUCAACUACCGCCGCGACGGCUCGCCCCACUGGGUGCUGCUCCACCUCGCGCCCGUCUUCCACGCCGCCGACGGCCGCGUGCUCCACUUCCUCGCCGUCCAGGUGCCCAUCGCCCCCGCGUCGCCGCCGCGCCGUCACCCGGGGCGGCCCGCGCCGCUCGCGGCCUGCCGGGAGGAGGCCAGGGGGGAGGAGGAGCUGCCUUGCGCCAGCCACGUAGGGGAGGUGUUUGUGGAUAUCGAUAAGAGAGGUAUGGAGACAAGAAGAAGGCUGGAGGCUGAGGAACUGCGUAUAGCUAGCGGCUGUGACAAAGAGAUGGCUCUAAGCACAGCAAACAACAUCUUCUCUACGCUGAACCGCUAUAGCAAACUAACUGGUUUGGUGGUUUGUGAGAGGAGAUGUGAUUCUGUUGGUAUCCCAGCACUCAGCUCUUCGUUAAAUCUCUCUCUCGGUAGAAUCAAACAGAGCUUUGUAUUAACUGACCGCCAUUUGCCUGACAUGCCGAUAGUCUAUGCUAGUGAUGCCUUUCUAUCAUUAACAGGUUACUCAAGAGAAGAAAUAUUGGGCUGUAACUGCAGAUUUUUAAACGGUCCAGGUACUAGUGCGGAGGUUUUAGAGGAGAUAAAUCAGCAUAUCUGUCGUGAGGAGGCUUGCACAGUGCAUUUGCUUAAUUACAGGAAAGACGGAAGUACAUUCCGUGAUCUGCUACAUGUGUCUCCCAUCCGAAAUUCAUCGGGCAAGGUUGCGUUUCAUGUGUGGGUUCACCUUGACGAGAGCGCGAAGCAUGAUUUUAGUGGGUUGACCCCUGAGGUAUGGCAGCUCGGUGCUGUUGGUGCUGUAAGAGUUGCAGUUAGAAGCCUGUCUGCGUCAGGUAGCCUGUUGAGACCGUCCCAAUAGCGUUUUCAGGUUUCUUUCUGAUUUUGUGUUACGUUGACUUGCCAACGUUUGUAUGUAAAGUAACUGCUUAGUGAAAGAGAUUAUAGUGCAUAUGACGGGAAAAUGGCUGGUAAAAUGAAGUUGUUGUGAAUUUUGUAACUACGCAAAAUGAAGAAAAUUGAUAGGGGGUGGUAGUAGUUCAAUAGCUCUUUUUUUCUUCUUCUCGAAAAGGGGACUACCCCGGCCUCUGCAAAACAUGGGGAGAGUAUGGUCCAUACGGUCAAAAAGGGCUUCUAUAAUGCAAAACAUGGUCCAUUUGAAAUAUUUGUUUUGCGCAUAAUGGUCCAUUUGAUUUGACCUAGCAGGGUAUGUUCUGGCAAAUAUUCUAGUGUCAUGUAAAUUUGGUAUGUAAACGAGUACACAUAAUCAUGCGACCGGGGUCUGGGGAGUUGAAAUAUAC